rnacentral:misc_RNA from 1 species
GAUGAAGAACGUAGCGAAAUGCGAUAAGUAAUGUGAAUUGCAGAAUUCAGUGAAUCAUCGAAUCUUUGAACGCACAUUGCGCCCGCCAGUAUUCUGGCGGGCAUGCCUGUUCGAGCGUCAUUACAACCCUCAGGCCCCCGGGCCUGGCGUUGGGGAUCGGCGGAGCCCCCCGUGGGCACACGCCGUCCCCCAAAUGCAGUGGCGGUCCCGCCGCAGCUUCCAUCGCGUAGUAGCUAACACCUCGCGACUGGAGAGCGGCGCGGCCACGCCGUAAAACACCCAACUCUUCUGAAGUUGACCUCGAAUCAGGUAGGAAUACCCGCUGAACUUAAGCAUAUCAAUAAGCGA